rnacentral:rRNA from 1 species
AUUAAUUAAAGGGCCGCAGUAUUAUAACUGUGCAAAGGUAGCAUAAUCAUUAGGUUUUUAAUUAGAAUCUUGUAUGAAUGGUCGGACAAGAGAGAAGCUCUCUUUAUAUUAAAUUUGAAUUUAACUUUUAAGUGAAAAGGCUUAAAUAUACUAAAGGGACGAUAAGACCCUGUAAAACGUUAGGCUGGGGAGGCAUAAAUGAAUAUUUUAAACUGUUUAAAUAGUUAUACAUUAAUUAGUGGAAAGAUCCUUUAUUAAGAUUAAUAAAUUAAGUUACUUUAGGGAUAACAGCGUAAUUUCUUUCUAGAGUUCUUAUCGAAAAGGAAGAUUGCGACCUCGAUGUUGAAUUAAAAUAUUCUAUAUAGUGAAGAGGCUAUAUAAGAAGGUCUGUUCGACCUUUAAAAUUUU